rnacentral:rRNA from 1 species
GAUGAACGCUGGCGGCGUGCCUAAUACAUGCAAGUCGAGCGGACGGACGAGAAGCUUGCUUCUCUAAUGUUAGCGGCGGACGGGUGAGUAACACGUGGAUAACCUACCUAUAAGACUGGGAUAACUUCGGGAAACCGUAGCUAAUACCGGAUAAUAUUUUGAACCGCAUGGUUCAAAAGUGAAAGACGGUCUUGCUGUCACUUAUAGCUGGAUCCGCGCUGCAUUAGCUAGUUGGUAAGGUAACGGGUUACCACGGCAACGAUGCAUAGCCGACCUGAGAGGGUGAUCGGCCACACUGGAGCUGAGACACGGACCAUACUCCUACGGGAGGCAGCAGUAUGGAAUCGGCCGCAAUGGGCGGAAGCCUUACGGAGCAACGCCGCGUGAGUGAUGAAGGUCUUCGGAUCGUAAAACUCUGUUAUUAGUGAAGAACAUAUUUGUAAGGAACUGUGCACAGCGUGACGGUACCUAAUCAGAAAGCCACGGCUAACUACGUG